UACAGAGGGUGCAAGCGUUAUUCGGAUUUACUGGGCGUAAAGAGCGUUUAGGUGGCUCGAUAAGUCUGAUGUGAAAUCCCUGGGCUCAACCCAGGAAGUGCAUUGGAUACUGUCGAGCUGGAGUACAGGAGGGGAGAGCGGAAUUCCAGGUGUAGAGGUGAAAUUCGUAGAUAUCUGGAGGAACAACGGUGGCGAAGGCGGCUCUCAGGACUGUUAAUGACACUAAGGCGCGAAAGCGUGGGGAGCAAACAGG
rnacentral:rRNA from 1 species